AGUGAACGCUGGCGGUAGGCCUAACACAUGCAAGUCGAACGGCAGCACAGUAAGAGCUUGCUCUUACGGGUGGCGAGUGGCGGACGGGUGAGGAAUACAUCGGAAUCUACUUUUUCGUGGGGGAUAACGUAGGGAAACUUACGCUAAUACCGCAUACGACCUACGGGUGAAAGCAGGGGAUCUUCGGGCCUUUCGCGAUUGAAUGAGCCGAUGUCGGAUUAGCUAGUUGGCGGGGUAAAGGCCCACCAAGGCGACGAUCCGUAGCUGGUCUGAGAGGAUGAUCAGCCACACUGGAACUGAGACACGGUCCAGACUCCUACGGGAGGCAGCAGUGGGGAAUAUUGGACAAUGGGCGCAAGCCUGAUCCAGCCAUACCGCGUGGAUGAAGAAGGCCUUCGGGUUGUAAAGCCCUUUUGUUGGGAAAGAAAAGCAGCAGGUUAAUACCCCGCUGUUCUGACGGUACCCAAAGAAUAAGCACCGGCUAACUUCGUG
rnacentral:rRNA from 1 species